ACCCGAAAUCAUUUUAGCCAACCUGAAAAGGAGGCGAAUGCCUAAGGUAUGUAUGGUGAUUGGGGUGAAGUCGUAACAAGGUAGCCGUAGGUGAACCUGCAGAAGGAUCA
rnacentral:rRNA from 1 species